rnacentral:rRNA from 1 species
GACGAACGCUGGCGGCGUGCUUAACACAUGCAAGUCGAGCGGUAAGGCCCUUUCGGGGGUACGACGAGCGGCGAACGGGUGAGUAACACGUGGGUGACCUGCCCUCAGCUCUGGGAUAAGCCUGGGAAACUGGGUCUAAUACCGGAUAUGACUCCAUGACGCAUGUCGUGGGGUGGAAAGCCUUGUGCGGCUGGGGAUGGGCCCGCGGCCUAUCAGCUUGUUGGUGGGGUGAUGGCCUACCAAGGCGACGACGGGUAGCCGGCCUGAGAGGGCGACCGGCCACACUGGGACUGAGACACGGCCCAGACUCCUACGGGAGGCAGCAGUGGGGAAUCUUGCGCAAUGGGCGAAAGCCUGACGCAGCGACGCCGCGUGAGGGAUGACGGCCUUGG